AACGCUAGCUACAGGCUUAACACAUGCAAGUCGAGGGGCAGCAUGGUCUUAGCUUGCUAAGGCCGAUGGCGACCGGCGCACGGGUGAGUAACACGUAUCCAACCUGCCGUCUACUCUUGGACAGCCUUCUGGAAGGAAGAUUAAUACAAGAUGGCAUCAUGAGUCCGCAUGUUCACAUGAUUAAAGGUAUUCCGGUAGACGAUGGGGAUGCGUUCCAUUAGAUAGUAGGCGGGGUAACGGCCCACCUGGUCUUCGAUGGAUAGGGGUUCUGAGAGGAAGGUCCCCCACAUUGGAACUGAGACACGGUCCAAACUCCUACGGGAGGCAGCAGUGAGGAAUAUUGGUCAAUGGGCGAGAGCCUGAACCAGCCAAGUAGCGUGAAGGCUGACUGCCCUAUGGGUUGUAAACUUCUUUUAUAAAGGAAUAAAGUCGGGUAUGCAUACCCGUUUGCAUGUACUUUAUGAAUAAGGAUCGGCUAACUCCGUGCCAGCAGCCGCGGUAAUACGGAGGAUCCGAGCGUUAUCCGGAUUUAUUGGGUUUAAAGGGAGCGUAGAUGGAUGUUUAAGUCAGUUGUGAAAGUUUGCGGCUCAACCGUAAAAUUGCAGUUGAUACUGGAUAUCUUGAGUGCAGUUGAGGCAGGCGGAAUUCGUGGUGUAGCGGUGAAAUGCUUAGAUAUCACGAAGAACUCCGAUUG
rnacentral:rRNA from 1 species